rnacentral:rRNA from 1 species
CCUACGGAAGGCAGCAGUGGGGAAUAUUGGACAAUGGGGGGAACCCUGAUCCAGCCAUGCCGCGUGUGUGAAGAAGGCCCUCGGGUUGUAAAGCACUUUCAGUGAGGAAGAACGCCUGGUGGUUAAUACCCAUCAGGAAAGACAUCACUCACAGAAGAAGCACCGGCUAACUCCGUGCCAGCAGCCGCGGUAAUACGGAGGGUGCGAGCGUUAAUCGGAAUUACUGGGCGUAAAGCGCGCGUAGGUGGCUUGAUAAGCCGGUUGUGAAAGCCCCGGGCUCAACCUGGGAACGGCAUCCGGAACUGUCAAGCUAGAGUGCAGGAGAGGAAGGUAGAAUUCCCGGUGUAGCGGUGAAAUGCGUAGAGAUCGGGAGGAAUACCAGUGGCGAAGGCGGCCUUCUGGACUGACACUGACACUGAGGUGCGAAAGCGUGGGUAGCAAACAGGAUUAGAUACCCUGGUAGUC